rnacentral:tRNA from 1 species
GAAAAUCCGUUGACUUUAAAAAUCGUGAGGGUUCAAGUCCCUCUAUCCCCAAAAA